CCUACGGGCGGCAGCAGUGGGGAAUAUUGCACAAUGGGGGAAACCCUGAUGCAGCGACGCCGCGUGAGUGAAGAAGUAUCUCGGUACGUAAAGCUCUAUCAGCAGGGAAGAAAAUGACGGGACCUGACUAAGAAGCCCCGGCUAACUACGUGCCAGGAGCCGCGGUAAUACGUAGGGGGCAAGCGUGAGCCGGAUUGACUGGGGGUAAAGGGGGCGUAGACGGCAGCACAAGUCUGGAGUGAAAUCCCGGGGCUUAACCCCCGCACUGCUUUGGAAACUGUGCGGCUGGAGUGCAGGAGGGGUAAGCGGAAUUCCUAGUGUAGCGGUGAAAUGCGUAGAUAUUAGGAGGAACACCGGUGGCGAAGGCGGCUUACUGGACUGUAACUGACGUUGAGGCUCGAAAGCGUGGGGAGCAAACAGGAUUAGAUACCCCUGUAGUC
rnacentral:rRNA from 1 species